rnacentral:rRNA from 1 species
UGGGGAAUAUUGGACAAUGGGCGGAAGCCUGAUCCAGCAACGCCGCGUGAGGGAUGACGGCCUUCGGGUUGUAAACCUCUUUCAGUACCGACGAAGCGAAAGUGACGGUAGGUACAGAAGAAGCACCGGCCAACUACGUGCCAGCAGCCGCGGUAAUACGUAGGGUGCGAGCGUUGUCCGGAAUUAUUGGGCGUAAAGGGCUCGUAGGCGGUUUGUCGCGUCGGGAGUGAAAACACUGGGCUUAACUCAGUGCUUGCUUCCGAUACGGGCAGACUAGAGGUAUGCAGGGGAGAACGGAAUUCCUGGUGUAGCGGUGAAAUGCGCAGAUAUCAGGAGGAACACCGGUGGCGAAGGCGGUUCUCUGGGCAUUACCUGACGCUGAGGAGCGAAAGUGUGGGGAGCGAACAGG